AAGACCCUGGAAUUGCCUUCUGGCCAGAAACAAUCUUCCUCUGUGCAGGACCUCAUGGAAGGACCUGAGCAGGGGAACAAGCUACUCUUCAGUGUACUGUUCAUGAGAUUGCUAUUCAUGAAGACUGUGGCCAUCAAUGUCCUCUUAAGUGCCAUGGCCUUGAUCUUCUGAGGAAGAACCUGAGGAAGAGGGUCCAAGAAGCUAUUGCUUUGAUUCUGGAUCUCUCAGGGAUCCCAGAAUGACUUCUGGAUAACCUCAAGAUAACGCUAUAAUGAUAUCAAGGACCCAAAAUUAUCCCUGCUACAUUCAAUCUUCUUUGAAUAGGAGACUCUUUAGUCCUGAGUCUACAUUUCCCAUGAUAUAGCAUUUCUCAUUUCUUUACUUCUACAAUAAAGACAAGAAAACUUUGCUGGACUCUGGGCUUCUAUGUAUUAUGGUGGUUUAUGUAAAAGCUAAGUCUAUAUGGAUCUGACAAUUUAGCCUUCUGUGAUGUCCUCACCUCAU